ensembl:lncRNA
CUUAGCAUUUGUUUUCCACACUAUGAUUAGGAUUAAGGGUACUGUGACAGAAAACAAGCGGCAUUAUUUUUAUUGCAGCAUUUAGGUUAAGAGACAUUUUUAAUAUUGGCUUAAUAGUUAGGCUUACAUAUACACUGUGGGUUAACAUAAUUAUCAUUAGAGCUCACAUUAAGCUACGGGUUCAGGUCAAGAUUAACAUUCACGCUGCCUCCCAGCCAGUCCCAGAGAGCCAAAGAAAAAAGGCAAGCUGAACUCGCACCGAAAGCCAAGGUAAAGGCAAAGCAAACAGCCAAGGCGAAGGGAAGGGCAAAAGCAAGGAGAGCACCCAACGGAAAGCCAAGGUGAGGGCGAGGAGACAGCAGCAGGAAAAACCAAGGGCAAAGGCCAAGAGAACACAGCAAAAAAUGCCAAAACAGAAGGCCAAGGGAACACGGCAUGGAAUGCUCAGGUCAGGGCAAGGGCUAAGAGAACGUGGCAGGAAGUGCCAAAACAGGAGGCUAAAGAGAACACGGCACAGAAGGCCAAGGCAGAAGGCUGAGAGAAGGUGGCUGGGAACACCAGAACAUGAUGCCAAAGAGAACACCGCAGGAAAUGCCCAAACAGGAGGGCAAGAGAACACUGCAGGGAACGCCAAAACUGAAUGCUGAAGAGAACAUGGCAGAAGAAAAACAAGUUCAAUAGCCAAGAGAAUGUGGCACGGAACGCAAGAACAGGAGGGCAAGGGAACGCCUAGGUAAGGGCCAAGAGAAUGUGGAAGGAAAUGCCAAGGAAAUGGCCAAGAGAACACGACAAGAAACGCCAAAACAGAAGGGCAAGAGAGCACUGCAGGGAACGCCAAAACUGAAUGUUGAAGUGAAUGUGGCCAAGAAAGUCAAGGGCAAUGGCCAAGAGAACAUGACAAGGAAUGCAAAAACACGAGGGCAAGAGAAUGCAGUAGGGAACGCCAAGGGCAAAGGGAAGGAGAACACCGCAGUGAAAGGCCAGAGCCAAGGAGAACGUGCAAAGAAUAGGACGGGCAGCCUUCGGGGCACCCUGAAGUGCAGAAAGGAGCUCUGGGAACUCCACCUUGUGUCUCACUGAGUAAGCGGUAAACACUGGUGGGUGUGCAUUGUCCUUACCUGCUGGGCAGACAAUUACCAGUCAGCAAAGUGGGGUUCCAGGGCAUCCCAGGAAAUGCAGCUUUCGGUUCCUUGCUGUUCCCGUGAAGACCCGCACGUCUCUCCGUGCAGUCCUUACAGCACUCGGGAGCGCUGCAGCUCUCUGCUGCCACCUGUUGGACACAAUGCAGUAAUGAAGGCGCUGUCCUGCACAUGUACGGCUGCACCCCGUGUGCAUUGCUCUAUAGGAUGACACAAGGGAGUAUUAGGAAUAUAAUGAAUGCUCUGCAUAGGUUUGAAGUUACAAUUAGCUUAGCAUUUGUUUUCCACACUAUGAUUAGGAUUAAGGGUACUGUGACAGAAAACAAGCGGCAUUAUUUUUAUUGCAGCAUUUAGGUUAAGAGACAUUUUUAAUAUUGGCUUAAUAGUUAGGCUUACAUAUACACUGUGGGUUAACAUAAUUAUCAUUAGAGCUCACAUUAAGCUACGGGUUCAGGUCAAGAUUAACAUUCACGCUGCCUCCCAGCCAGUCCCAGAGAGCCAAAGAAAAAAGGCAAGCUGAACUCGCACCGAAAGCCAAGGUAAAGGCAAAGCAAACAGCCAAGGCAAAGGGAAGGGCAAAAGCAAGGAGAGCACCCAACGGAAAGCCAAGGUGAGGGCGAGGAGACAGCAGCAGGAAAAACCAAGGGCAAAGGCCAAGAGAACACAGCAAAAAAUGCCAAAACAGAAGGCCAAGGGAACACGGCAUGGAAUGCUCAGGUCAGGGCAAGGGCUAAGAGAACGUGGCAGGAAGUGCCAAAACAGGAGGCUAAAGAGAACACGGCACAGAAGGCCAAGGCAGAAGGCUGAGAGAAGGUGGCUGGGAACACCAGAACAUGAUGCCAAAGAGAACGCCGCAGGAAAUGCCCAAACAGGAGGGCAAGAGAACACUGCAGGGAACGCCAAAACUGAAUGCUGAAGAGAACGUGGCAGAAGAAAAAGAAGUUCAAUAGUCAAGAGAAUGUGGCAUGGAACGCAAGAACAGGAGGGCAAGGGAACGCCUAGGUAAGGGCCAAGAGAAUGUGGAAGGAAAUGCCAAGGAAAUGGCCAAGAGAACACGACAAGAAACACGAAAACAGAAGGGCAAGAGAGCACUGCAGGGAACGCCAAAACUGAAUGUUGAAGUGAAUGUGGCCAAGAAAGUCAAGGGCAAUGGCCAAGAGAACAUGACAAGGAAUGCAAAAGCAAGAGGACAAGAGAAUGCAGUAAGGAACGCCAAGGGCAAAGGGAAGGAGAACACCGCAGUGAAAGGCCAGAGCCAAGGAGAACGUGCAAAGAAUAGGACGGGCAGCCUUCGGGGAACCCUGAAGUGCAGAAAGGAGCUCUGGGAACCCUACCUUGUGUCUCACUCAGUAAGGGGUAAACACUGGUGGGAGUGGAUUGUCCUUACCUGCUGGGCAGACAAUUACCAGUCAGCAAAGUGGAGCUCCAGGGCAUCCCGGGAAAUGCAGCUUUCGGUUCCUGGCUGUUCCCGUGAAGACCCGCACAUCUCUCCGUGCAGUCCUUACAGCACUCGGGAGCGCUGCAGCUCUCUGCUGCCACCUGUUGGACACAAUGCAGUAAUGAAGGCGCUGCCCCGCAUAUGUAGGGCUGCACCCUGCGUGCAUUGCUCUAUAGAAUGACGCAAGGGACUAUUAGGGAUAUAAUUAAUGCUGUUUAUAAGUUACUUAAUGGGGGUCAGGGGAUGGGAGGAAAAGGUGUGGGGGUUUGGGUAUCAUACAGAUUAGGAAACAAAUAGCAUCUCCUGACAAUUGGGAUGAGAUAUCUGGAGAUCCUGACUGUAGUCAUCCAGAAGAGGACAACCCUUUCUUUUUUAUUAACACAAACCCAGAUCUGCUGGUGAAACAGAAAUGACCGUAGACCAUGGGGUAGUUAGUGUAGUUGUGAUGUCCCAUUACCGGCUCCACAGGCCUCACACCACCGAUUAGAGGAGCACCAACAAUCUUUAAACCCCAUCGAGUCGCAAACUGAGAUCCGAAGAGAGAACAUGAUUUAAAACACAAUAAUGAUGCCCAGAAUGCCCUUAAACAACUCUGCAUGGGUGCAAUUAACACAUGGCACUGUGAAUUACAGCCAUAAGAUGGAAUGAUGUGGGAAAAGACAAACCACGUUUGGAGCUCCAGGUUGGAGAUUAUGAUGUGACAACCAUCAAAGAGAGAGCAGUGACUCAACCAGAGGGAAAUGGGCUUAAAAAGGGCUGCAAACAGGACCUACAGAAUACAGAACCCCUCAACGGAAAAGGGCAUUAACCGUCAGCAUGCCCAGAACUGCAGCGCUCAAUCAGUCAACCAGCAUUAUUAGGGCUGAUUAAAGCAUUCCAGAAGCAAGGGAGCUCUGAAAGGAAGGAAUGGACAUCAGUCCUUCCAUCAGCAGCUCAGGGAAGGAGAGAGAACCCCUUCAUCUCCCUUAGGGUGAGAAUGAAGGCACCAUAAGGACAAACACAGCAGAUACAGCUGCUCUACUCCAACUUGGGAUCUCCCCAGAAAGGCAGAGCACACAACGCUGCACUAAAACAGGGAUCUCUCACCCCAUUUAGGGGCUCCCCCCAAACCCCAAAGGAAGCAGCCUCCACAUUCAGAUACUGUCCUCGUGGCUACCAGCCCUUAAAUACAGUCAGGACCCCCCAAAAAGAGGAGCUCACAACCCUGAAAUUCAAAAAGAACCACUUACCCCAUUCCAAGGGCCAAUACUCACCCACACCCCAAAAGAAACAGUUUCCAGGUACAGAUGGUUGCCAGCCUCAAAAUGUGGCUAGGAUACCCCAAGAAAGGGGGAGAACACAGCCCUCCCAUACAAAAGGGCUCACCUCAGACCCUCAAGGAAGCACUCCCAAGUUCAGAUACUGCCCCCUUCACUUCCCAGCCCUUAAA